AAUCUUCUUUCCUGCCAAACAGCCUCGUUUUCUAACAAUUUCUCACCAAGAUUAACGACGCAAGUUUCCUCACUUUCUCUCGCUCCAAUUCAAACAGUACACCUUAUGGCAGAGCCAAAGAAGGCAACUUCUUCAGCUGUGGAUUCAAAAUCAAAGGAGAAAAUAUCAGUGAUAGAUGAGGAUAUUGGUAAAGAUUUCCUUAGCUCCUGGAAAAUGAAAGAUGAUGAUAUGGAUUUUAACUUUGAGACAACCACAAGGGGC